rnacentral:rRNA from 1 species
UACGUAGGGUGCGAGCGUUAAUCGGAAUUACUGGGCGUAAAGUGUGCGCAGGCGGCCGAGCAAGUCGAGUGUGAAAGCCCCGAGCUUAACUUGGGAACUGCGCUCGAAACUACUUGGCUGGAGUGUGGCAGAGGAAGGUGGAAUUCCACGUGUAGCGGUGAAAUGCGUAGAGAUGUGGAGGAACACCAGUGGCGAAGGCGACUCUUUGGCCUGUAACUGACGCUGAGGCGCGAAAGCGUGGGGAGCAAACAGG